AGGGCAUAUUUUCUCCACCCGUCGCGCCCCUCUUUGAAGACCCCUCUGGGCAUACGUUAAUUUGGGAGAGUAGUGUGCUGUACCACCUAACAAUACUAUGGAAAGGGAUGGAUGGGUAGAGGAAGAGAGAGAGAAAAACG
ensembl:ncRNA F09D5.1 ncRNA